UCCUGCAGAAAAGCACGGCUAACUACGUGCCAGCAGCCGCGGUAAUACGUAGGUGCAAGCGUGUCCGGAAUUAUUGGGCGUAAAGAGCUCGUAGGCGGUUUGUCGCGUCUGCUGUGAAAUCCCGAGGCUCAACCUCGGGUCUGCAGUGGGUACGGGCAGACUAGAGUGCGGUAGGGGAGAUUGGAAUUCCUGGUGUAGCGGUGGAAUGCGCAGAUAUCAGGAGGAACACCGAUGGCGAAGGCAGAUCUCUGGGCCGUAACUGACGCUGAGGAGCGAAAGGGUGGGGAGCAAACAGGCUUAGAUACCCUGGUAGUCCACCCCGUAAACGUUGGGAACUAGAUGUGGGGACCAUUCCACGGUCUCCGUGUCGCAGCUAACGCAUUAAGUUCCCCGCCUGGGGAGUACGGCCGCAAGGCUAAAACUCAAAGGAAUUGACGGGGGCCCGCACAAGCGGCGGAGCAUGCGGAUUAAUUCGAUGCAACGCGAAGAACCUUACCAAGGCUUGACAUAUACGAGAACGGGCCAGAAAUGGUCAACUCUUUGGACACUCGUAUACAGGUGGUGCAUGGUUGUCGUCAGCUCGUGUCGUGAGAUGUUGGGUUAAGUCCCGCAACGAGCGCAACCCUCGUUCUAUGUUGCCAGCACGUAAUGGUGGGAACUCAUGGGAUACUGCCGGGGUCAACUCGGAGGAAGGUGGGGACGACGUCAAAUCAUCAUGCCCCUUAUGUCUUGGGCUUCACGCAUGCUACAAUGGCCGAUACAAAGGGCUGCAAUACCGCAAGGUGGAGCGAAUCCCAAAAAGUCGGUCCCAGUUCGGAUUGAGGUCUGCAACUCGACCUCAUGAAGUCGGAGUCGCUAGUAAUCGCAGAUCAGCAACGCUGCGGUGAAUACGUUCCCGGGCCUUGUACACACCGCCCGUCAAGUCAUGAAAGUCGGUAACACCCGAAGCCAGUGGCCUAACCCUUGUGGAAGGAGCUUAUAAG
rnacentral:rRNA from 1 species